AAUGGUGAGAUGGAAGUUGCAAAGGAAGUCAUUUGGGACCUUUCAGAAGUAUAGUAUCCUGAAACACCAAGCAAAUUCAGACCUUCAUGCUGAGGUGAAUUUGUAAAGGGUCAUUGGGCGUACCCUUUGGGAGAACUGAUACGGCCUUCAGACCUUUGACCAAAACAGAUAAAAUAAACACAGAAAGAUAUACCAAGAAUGACUUAAAGGGAGGAAGCAAAGGAGUCCAAUAAUGUAUUACAUUUCAACAUAAAGGAGAAGGAUGGGCCUCCUCUCACUGGUGUGAAAGAGGGUUCUUAGAGAUGAUUGAUACGCAUACCCUAAGUAUGUUCCCUGGACCAGCAACAUCAGCAUUACUCAGAAGCUUGUUAGACCCUACCUCAGAUCUACUGGAUCAGAAUUUGCUUUCCAA
rnacentral:lncRNA from 1 species